UUCAGUGUGGUGUAGUGGUUUGAGCGUUGGACUACAACUCUAGAGAACAGGGUUCACAUCCCUGCUCAGCCA